UACGUAGGUGGCAAGCGUUAUCCGGAAUUACUGGGCGUAAAGCGCACGCAGGCGGCGCAUCAAGUUCGACGUGAAAGCUCCCGGCUUAACUGGGAGAGGUCGUUGAAGACUGAUGUGCCUGAGGCAAUGAGAGGGGUGUAGAAUUCCCGGUGUAGUGGUGGAAUGCGUAGAUAUCGGGGGGAAUACCAGUGGCGAGAGCGGCACCCUAGCAUUAGCCUGACGCUCAUGUGCGAAAGCGUGGGGAGCGAACGGG
rnacentral:rRNA from 1 species